UACGUAGGUCCCGAGCGUUGUCCGGAUUUAUUGGGCGUAAAGCGAGCGCAGGUGGUUUGGUAAGUCUGGUGUAAAAGGCUACUGCUUAACAGUAGUGUGCAUUGGAAACUGUUAGACUUGAGUGCAGGAGAGGUAUGUGGAAUUCCAUGUGUAGCGGUGAAAUGCGUAGAUAUAUGGAGGAACACCGGAGGCGAAAGCGGCAUACUGGCCUGUAACUGACACUGAGGCUCGAAAGCGUGGGGAGCAAACAGG
rnacentral:rRNA from 1 species